GCAUGGAAGGGCCAUCGCUCAACGGAUAAAAGCUACCCUGGGGAUAACAGGCUUAUCUCCCCCAAGAGUCCACAUCGACGGGGAGGUUUGGCACCUCGAUGUCGGCUCAUCGCAUCCUGGGGCUGAAGUAGGUCCCAAGGGUUGGGCUGUUCGCCCAUUAAAGCGGUACGCGAGCUGGGUUCAGAACGUCGUGAGACAGUUCGGUCCCUAUCCGUCGCGGGCGUAGGAAAUUUGAGAGGAGCUGUCCUUAGUACGAGAGGACCGGGAUGGACACACCGCUGGUGUACCAGUGAGGACCGGGAUGGACACACCGCUGGUGUACCAGUUGUUCCGCCAGGAGCAUAGCUGGGUAGCUACGUGUGGAAGGGAUAAGUGCUGAAAGCAUCUAAGCAUGAAGCCCCCCUCGAGAUGAGAUUUCCCUUGGAGUUAAUCCAGUAAGACCCCUUAAAGAUGAUGAGGUUGAUAGGUCUCGGGUGGAAGCACGGCGACGUGUGGAGCUGAGAGAUACUAAUCGGUCGAGGACUUAUCCUA
rnacentral:ncRNA from 1 species